UGUGUGUGUGUGUGUGUGCGCGCGCGCCUA
rnacentral:piRNA from 1 species